rnacentral:rRNA from 1 species
AUAGGCCUCCCUUAAAACUAAGUGGCAGUGCCGGCGAGCUCUAAGCGUAGUAAAUUUUCCUCGCUAUAGGUCUCGGUGGUUUCUUGCCAGAACCCCAAAUUAUACUAGGUUAACCUCGGAUCAGGUAGGGAUACCCGCUGAACUUAAGCAUAUCAAUAAGCGGAGGAAAAGAAACCAACC